rnacentral:lncRNA from 1 species
GAGGAAUGAGCCCAAAGUGAGUCCUGCCUCCAAACCCAGCUGAGGGUUGGGUUCAAAUCCUCACUGGGUCUUUGACAGCUUUGGUGCUGGGCAAGCCCUCGAUGCCCUCCCCUAGUCAGUGUCUCUCAGAGGGCCCUUUCAGCCCUAGGCCUGGCCUUCCGUGAUCUGCUUGAAAGUGUCCCCAUGACGGAAGGCAGGUUUGUGCGGAGAGUGGGGGGAAAGGGGACGUGUUGGAAGUUGGCCCCCAGAUAAGCAGUGCCCCAUGCCCAUCCAUACGGCCCUGCUCUUCUCCAGGCCCCCAGGCCAGCUCCCCUUCUCCCUCCCUUCCCCCCCACUCCGUGUUCUCGCCCCCAGCCCAUCCAUCUGUCCUCCCCACCAACGCCCUCACCUCCCCAGUGGGCUUGCUCCGACGCCAAGGAAGGCUUUCUUCUGAAGUUGAGGAAAAGAGACGAAGCGUCUCUCUGUUGCCAUGGCAACGAAAGACGGGCUGAUGCGCGUGCUCGCGCUCGGGCUGGAACCCGGGAGUCCGGAAUCCCCCCCCCCGUCCCCGCCCCUUCUGGCCCGCCAGUCUAGCGCGUGCACGCCAACAAGGCAAAGAGCGCGUUGAGUCGGUGUCGAGAGAGGAGGUCCUUCGGCUUCGCCCUGCUCCCUUGCGCACGCGCAGGCCGAGAACUCGUCCGGGAGUCGGCGUCCCGGCGUCUCGCCGGUUCCUCACUACCCAAAUGAGCACGCGCGCGGCUCCUCUCGCGCUGCUUGGUCGGCAUUCGCGAUCACCGGGCCCGGCUUUGCGCGGGUUUCGCUGUCUCCGUGGGCCCCGGCGGUCGCGGGCUCUCUGGAACUGCUCCAGAUGGAGAACCCCAAGGCCCGCGAGGGGCAGCAGAUCACCGGGCCCUCCCAGAGGUUCGCCGUCAUCACCGGCUCAGCCCUGCCCCCCCAGUGCUUUAGGGGUCUCCAGAGCAGGCCAAAAAGGCAGAUCAGAAAGGAGCUUCGAUAGUCUGAGGGGAGAACAGGACCUUCCAGACAAGGGGACUGUUAUCAUCAAGGUGUUAUCAGCAAGGCCUCACCCGCUCCCCAGAUGCCAACCCUGACAAGCAGUAGUGCAUCCUGGCUUUGUGUGGACAGCAGAGCAGCAGAAGGCAGACCUGGAGCCAGGCAAAGGGGUCCAGGGACUCCAAGCUGUAGACCAGGGCUUCUGGCCUUGUUGAUGUCAUUUGGCAGCAAAUCCUGGCCUGUGUGCUGAAGCCAUCCCUGUGAGUGGGCCAUUCCUGUCUUGGCGUGGGGUGGGAGGAGCCUGUGGCCUCCUGGAGGGUCAUGUCUACCCUGAAAUAAAGUUGGAAAUCGUUCUUUUAGAUGGAAUCCA